rnacentral:rRNA from 1 species
UACGAAGGGGGCUAGCGUUGCUCGGAAUCACUGGGCGUAAAGCGCACGUAGGCGGAUUGCUAAGUCAGGGGUGAAAUCCUGGAGCUCAACUCCAGAACUGCCUUCGAUACUGGAAGACUUGAGUCCGGGAGAGGUGAGUGGAACUGCGAGUGUAGAGGUGAAAUUCGUAGAUAUUCGCAAGAACACCAGUGGCGAAGGCGGCUCACUGGCCCGAUACUGACGCUGAGGCACGAAAGCGUGGGGAGCAAACAGG